AACGGCCGCGGAAACCUAACCGCGCGAAGGUAGCAUAAUCACUUGUUCUUUAAAUAGGGACUAGUAUCAACGGCAUCACGAGGGUUGCACUGUCUCCUCCUUCCAAUCAGUAAAACUGAUCUCCCCGUGAAAAAGCGGGGAUAAAGAUAUAAGACGAGAAGACCCCAUGGAGCUUUAAACCCAACAGCAACUCAACAACACAAUCCCUUAUAGUUAAUAGAGAAAUGCACGUCGGUUUUAGGUUGGGGUGACCGCGGAGUAAAGAUUACCCUCCACGACGAAAAGAACUUAAUCUUUAUCUAAGAGCUACUACUCUAGGAAUUAGCACACUAACGAACAAUGACCCAAUUAUUGAUCAACGAAACAAGUUACCCUGGGGAUAACAGCGCAAUCUACUUCAAGAGCCCAUAUCGACAAGUAGGCUUACGACCUCGAUGUUGGAUCAGGGUAUCCCAGUGGUGCAGCCGCUACUAACGGUUC
rnacentral:rRNA from 1 species